rnacentral:rRNA from 1 species
AGUGAACGCUGGCGGCAGGCCUAAUACGUGCAAGUCGAACGGCAGCACAGCAGAGCUUGCUCUGUGGGUGGCGAGUGGCGGACGGGUGAGGAAUACAUGGGAAUCUGCCCAGUCGUGGGGAGUAACGUAUGGAACGUACGCUAAUACCGCAUGCGCCCUACGGGGAAGGACCGGGACCGGCAAGGCCUGGCGCGAUUGGAUGAGCCCACUGUUCGAUUAGCUAGUUGGCGGGGUAAAGGGCCCACCAAGGCGACGAUCGAUAGCUGGUCUGAGAGGAUGAUCAGCCACACUGGAACUGAGACACGGUCCAGACUCCUACGGGAGGCAGCAGUAGGGAAUAUUGGAC